rnacentral:rRNA from 1 species
CGCAAGCCUGACGGAGCAAGACCGCGUGCGGGAGGACGGCCUAUUGGUUGUAAACCGCUUUUGAUAGGGAAGAAGUUCUGACGGUACCUAUCGAAUCAGCAUCGGCUAACUCCGUGCCAGCAGCCGCGGUAAUACGGAGGAUGCAAGCGUUAUCCGGAAUUAUUGGGCGUAAAGCGUCCGUAGGUGGUUGUUCAAGUCUGCUGUUAAAGCGU